rnacentral:tRNA from 1 species
GCCUGGGUGGCUCAGUUGGUUGAGCGACUGACUUCGGCUCAGGUCAUGAUCUCACAGCUCGUGAGUUUGAGUCCCGCGUCGGGCU